rnacentral:rRNA from 1 species
UACGUAGGGUGCAAGCGUUAAUCGGAAUUACUGGGCGUAAAGCGUGCGCAGGCGGUUGUGCAAGACAGAUGUGAAAUCCCCGGGCUUAACCUGGGAAUUGCAUUUGUGACUGCAUGGCUGGAAUGCGGCAGAGGGGGAUGGAAUUCCGCGUGUAGCAGUGAAAUGCGUAGAUAUCAGGAGGAAUACCGAUGGCGAAGGCAGGUCUCUGGGCUGACACUGACGCUCAUGCACGAAAGCGUGGGGGGCAAACAGG